rnacentral:misc_RNA from 1 species
GAAACGCGAUAGUUAAUGUGAAUUGCAGAAUUCAGUGAAUCAUCGAGUCUUUGAACGCACAUUGCGCCUUUUGGUAUUCCGAGAGGCACGUCUGUUUGAGCGUCAGCAAAACCCUCCGGCCUCCCGUUUGUUCGGGGGCACGGGUCAGCUGGCGCGGGGACUGGCCACCGCGCUUCGGUGCGGGCGGGCCUUCCCCCGCUUAAAGGUGUGGAAGCUAGCGGGGUGCGCCCCGGAUCGCGACGACUCGUAAGCACUUACUGUCGAAGGCAUCCGGACACCCCCGCCUCAAAACCGUGGCAUGCAUUUGCCCUUGAACCUUGACCUCAGAUCAGACGAGGAUACCCGCUGAACUUAA